AUGGAGAAGUGUAUAUUCUUUUAUUCAGAAACAAACAAGAUCCAUGAAGUUCUUAAGCAUAAGAGAUGCCCCAUUGGUCUUCUCUGGAUUUUCCUCAUUAUGUCUGGAUAUACUGAGUCUAUAAAAUGUAAGAGGAGAGGAAAUGUUUCUGAUGGAUUUACCCUUGGAAGACAAAUGAGAACAUUCAAACUUUUGUGGAUUGGAAAUCAAUGUGCAUAAAGCAAGAAAAAUGGGCAAUGUUAUCAAGCAAAUAGUUUACACAGUCUGUGAACUCCAGGAAAAAAAAAAAAGUCAUUUUACUAUCCUGAGUUAAGCUGGCAAACUGCAGCAUUAUCAAUUCCAACUAUAUUCCCAACUCUUACUGGUUUAGAUAUAUACCUUUCUUUUAAAACAUUGCCCUUUUUGCCACAAUGCACAGUGCUUGUGGUUGCCUUACAGUGGUCCCAGAUACGUAUUGGUAGAAGUUUAGUGCUUUUUUGGAUGCUACCUAAUUACUUUUUUAAAAAAAUAUGGUCAACAAUAAUAUUUUUCUCUGUAUUUGAAAUAGUUGCCCACACUUUGUAUGCCAAAUUUUUCAUCUUUCUUUUUUAAAGCUUAUACUGUGAAAUUUUCUCAUGUUGAUAUGCUCAGGUCCCUUAUUGGGAACUGUAUUAGGGAAACUAUUUGUAGCUCACCACAUUCAACUAAAUCCAGUAGAGCUCUUUCAUGAUGAAUGAGUCCUAUAACCAAUUAUAGAACAGAACAUUUGCUGCUCUUUUACAUCACAGAAUGUGACCUUUGCAUUGGUUAGGCUUUGUACCUGUUGAUAGUGCUUUUUAAGCAUAAAAUUGUCUAUUCUAAUUCUUACCUAUUCUGUCCUGGUGUCUUCCAUGUGUAGAAUGUAAUUACAAUGUGUAAUUCUGCAGAAUAUCUGUUAAGUGAAAAAGUUUAGGUGGAAUCUUGGCCCUAUUAAAGUAGAUUAAAAAUGCCAUUGCCUGGAAUGAAGUAAAAGUCUCUAAUUGUGGUUUUGUACAAAAUAGGCUAAGAAGAAGCACAAAAAAAAUGUUCAUCAGUUGUGGUUAUUUUUUAUCUCAAAUGUAAGUUGUCCAGAGAAACUAAGCUUAGACUGCUUAAUUUCCAUGGUUUAAAAUCUUAUGACCCUUUCAAUAGUAAAUUCUCAAAUUAUCCAAAAGAAAAUUAUGAAAUCUGUCAUUGAAAACUCCAAUUUGUUAUAAAAGAA
rnacentral:lncRNA from 1 species